GACGAACGCUGGCGGCGUGCUUAACACAUGCAAGUCGAACGGAAAGGCCCUGCUUUUGUGGGGUGCUCGAGUGGCGAACGGGUGAGUAACACGUGAGUAACCUGCCCUUGACUUUGGGAUAACUUCAGGAAACUGGGGCUAAUACCGGAUAGGAGCUCCUGCUGCAUGGUGGGGGUUGGAAAGUUUCGGCGGUUGGGGAUGGACUCGCGGCUUAUCAGCUUGUUGGUGGGGUAGUGGCUUACCAAGGCUUUGACGGGUAGCCGGCCUGAGAGGGUGACCGGCGAAAUUGGGACUGAGAUACGGCCCAGACUCCAACGGGAGGCAGCAGUGGGAAAUAUUGCACAAUGGGCGGAAGCCUGAUGCAGCAACGCCGCGUGCGGGAUGACGGCCUUCGGGUUGUAAACCGCUUUCGCCUGUGACGAAGCGUGAGUGACGGUAAUGGGUAAAGAAGCACCGGCUAACUACGUG
rnacentral:rRNA from 1 species